rnacentral:lncRNA from 1 species
CUUCCUUCACCAAAUCGCACUGGCUCCCGGGCUCCUCCUUCCUAUCUUCACGAACUGCCGCUCGCUCCUCAGUCCUAGUUUCACCAAAAACUGGCUCCUGGAAUCCUGUCUUCUAAAAGCCGUAUUUUUUAUCUUCUAGUUUUCCUAUCUUCACUAAUCUUUUCUUCACCUUCCUGUACUUGUCUUCCGAUCAUGUUCUAAUAUUAUCUUUUUUCUUCUUUCUUCCUUUCUCACACUAUUUUUUAAGGACGUCUCCAUUUUCCCCUAAAAUAAGACCUUCUUAUUAAUUAUCAAAUCUACUCUCACGAAUUUAACUCAAAACUACAGCUCAGUAUUUUCGCUAAUUUAUAAUUCCUAGAGAAUAAGAGUAAUCCCUAUCUUAACAGAAAAACUUAUCUGCGGUCUCCUCAAGAAGCGUUUCCUGCCUCUCAGCCGUCUCUGCUCUCGCUGCCUCAAUGCCUGCCUCCCGACCCGCAGCGCGCGGCGUAUUUAUAGCCCAAGGACACCUCACACCCCCGUCAUCCAAUAACCCUCCGCCGCCUUUGUGAGGGAAGCAAAAAUAGUUCCUCGGAAGGAGUUAAAAAUAGAAUCUGGUUUAUAAGACUCUAGGUUUUUCCUUAACAGUUUAUAUAACUUGCUCGCAAACUCUGUACCCAGAUGUUUAAGUAGAUUUGAACUGAAAACUUGAGUAAAAACAAUGGAAACCACGUUUAAACAGACCAUCAAACAGCUGACAAAAACUCAGAAUUACUUGGAAAUGUUUUAGUAGCUUUUAAAAUACCUUCUGUGUUUCCUUGGAGUACAGUAGGUACAAUUUAGUGCUUUGGAGGCUAGGAAAGUAAAACUAAGUUUGCUGAUGGCCUUCAUUUCCAUUAUGUAACAGAGCUUCAGCCUCACAAAUAGAGCGGAGCCAUCUUAGAAGGACCGAAGGGUGGGAGUUUCGCCCCCAUGGGCCGCAGGUCCUGAGGAUUAUACCACACCGUCUUGAUUGCCAUUUUAUUCGUGAGAUCCGAUCAGCCCAGGUGAUCUAUGUAAGAAUUGGACUAAAUGUGGAAAUCCACUUCUGGAAAAUGUCUGACAGCCACUCUUUACCACUGUUGCCUGCAACAGAGCUGGUCACGCAUCGCAAGGGAUUAGGACCAAAAUUGAGGCAUCCAGCACCCCGUGUUUCCCACCUGGGUGGAAAAGCGGAGGGAAGCGCCAGGGCGGAACUGGCUGCUGUGUCUCAAGGACUCUAGGAGAAGCCUCGGUCCCCAGGGCGGCAAAGGGGACCCGAGUGAGGCUUGAGGACUUAGAAAUGACAAUGGCGCCAGGGAGCGUCCCAGAUACCGGCUUCCAAGCGGCUAAAGCGGCUGAGGCGCGAAGAAGAAGCAGGUAAGAGGCCGAGCGGGGUGGGCGCGAGCCCCCGGGGCCGAGGGGGUGGGGGACGGGUUUCCCGGCCCAGCGCUGCCCGCGGCCGCAGAAAAGGGAGAAGCGG